CCUGCUCGUGCUAAACAAUCUAUUCGUCCAUCUACUUCUCUACCUGCCAAGGCUACUGCAGCUAAGAAUGCCUUAAGCCACAAACGGCCAGCUUCAGCAUCUCCGAUUUUGGAGGAUGAUGAUGACGCUCCUCUCAUCGUUAGGAGAAAGGUAAUUGAAUUCUGUUUAUUCACAAACAUACCUUUCUAUAUGCUAAUGGUUUAUUU
rnacentral:lncRNA from 1 species